rnacentral:rRNA from 1 species
CUACGGGCUGCUGCAGUGAGGAAUAUUGCACAAUGGGGGGAACCCUGAUGCAGCAACGCCGCGUGGAGGAUGACGCAUUUCGGUGUGUAAACUCCUUUUAUAUGUCAAGAAAAUGACGGUAGCAUAUGAAUAAGCACCGGCUAACUCCGUGCCAGCAGCCGCGGUAAUAGGAGGGUGCAAGCGUUACUCGGAAUCACUGGGCGUAAAGGACGCGUAGGCGGGUUGGAAAGUCAGGUGUGAAAUCCUACAGCUUAACUGUAGAACUGCACUUGAAACUUCUAAUCUAGAGUAUGGGAGGGGGAGAUGGAAUUAGUGGUGUAGGGGUAAAAUCCGUAGAUAUCCCUAGGAAUACCUGAAGCGAAGGCGAUCUCCUGGAACAUUACUGACGCUAAGGCGUGAAAGCGUGGGGAGCAAACAGGAUUAGAUACCCGGGUAGUC